ensembl:ncRNA C02F4.9 ncRNA
UAGCAUGAGUUGAACAGUAGUUAGAAAAUGACAUCGCUCCUAGGAAGAAGACAUUUUCAACUUAUAAAAUUGUUUGAAAGUUCUAUUUUUAAAUACAAACACUUAGAGUUG